GUGCUCGUUAUAGGAGGGGGGGCCGCGCUUGUUGGGGCUGCUGUGGAAACAAGGCUGUCAGCUUCAGCUACUCAUCCAGGAUGGACCUAAUGAAGAAAACGGCUUAUCCUCGUCCGCUGCUUGGCUGCACGAAGCAGGAGGAGGCCAGGUAGAUGGCCCCCGAGGAGAUGGCCGGGCCCAGGAAGCGAGGGCUGGGGAUGUCCAGGUGAGCGUGAGCUGAGGAGCUGGACGGGCAGAGCUCGUACCCAAGAGAGGCAUGCUGGCGAAUCUCAAUGACGUCCAGGGAGUUGAAGUACGUCACGAACAGGUACGGCUCCCUGUAGGCUGUGACAGAAGAUGCCGCCGUCAAGAACCUGCGUGUGUCAGCAGGAAGGCCGGUGGCGUUGGCGG